UUGCAUGCCUAAUUGUGGCUUGAAAUUACUGCUAGUGUUCAUCAGAUUGCCUUCUGAUGCAACAUCUUGUUCAUUUUGCAGGAAUCCCUCAACGUCUUCUUCAUCGAGGAAUUUAUCAUCUCCGCCUUGUUCAAAUUCAUGUUGUAGAACAGGUUCGUGUCCCAUGGAUUAGUUUCUGCUCCUCCAUCUUCACUUGCUGCCACUUUGUGAUGCAAGACUCCCUCCAGUGUCUGCAAAGAAAUCCCUCCCCGAUCUGUUCAUGCGAGAGGUGGGGAGAGUAGUGCGAUGUUUUUUUGCUGACCUGUGAAUCCUGACGCUGAUUCCCCUCUGAUGAUCUUCCUUGAUGCUCGUCAGGUACAACAUCUUGAAUUCUCUUCUGAUUUGUGUUUGAGCUCCCUUCUUCUUCUACCCCAUCGCCCAUGUCCGCCUCCAUGUUCUCCCUUCUUCUCUUCUCCCCCUUUCUGAUUUUGCUUUUUG